rnacentral:rRNA from 1 species
AGUGAACGCUGGCGGUAGGCCUAACACAUGCAAGUCGAACGGCAGCACAGUAAGAGCUUGCUCUUACGGGUGGCGAGUGGCGGACGGGUGAGGAAUACAUCGGAAUCUACUUUUUCGUGGGGGAUAACGUAGGGAAACUUACGCUAAUACCGCAUACGACCUACGGGUGAAAGCAGUGGAUCUUCGGACCUUGCGCGAUUGAAUGAGCCGAUGUCGGAUUAGCUAGUUGGCGGGGUAAAGGCCCACCAAGGCAACGAUCCGUAGCUGGUCUGAGAGGAUGAUCAGCCACACUGGAACUGAGACACGGUCCAGACUCCUACGGGAGGCAGCAGUGGGGAAUAUUGGACAAUGGGCGCAAGCCUGAUCCAGCCAUACCGCGUGGGUGAAGAAGGCCUUCGGGUUGUAAAGCCCUUUUGUUGGGAAAGAAAAGCAGCAGGUUAAUACCCCGCUGUUCUGACGGUACCCAAAGAAUAAGCACCGGCUAACUUCGUG